AAAACAAGCUCAGGGCUCCCACUGAUUGUACAUUAUGAGACGGAGUCUUGCUAUGUUGCCCAGGCUGGUCUUGAACUCCUCACCUCAAGCGAUCCUCUCGUCUUGGCCUCCCAAGUGUCAGGAUUACAGGCAUGUGCUAUCACACCCAACCUGAUACAUUGCCUUUAUAAAUUUUUUUUUCUUUAUUCUAAAAACCAGAAAAAACAAAACUGGAUACAUGUGCAGAACAUGCAGGUUUGUUACAUAGCUGUACGUGUGCCAUGGUGGUUUGCUGCACCUAUUGACCUAUCCUCAGGGAAUUUCUUCCACUUGCAGACCAAGUGUGUUGGGGACUUGAGAUGCGUACAUGAGUGUUUGUGAUGUUUCCUGCCGAAAGCACAGGUGAGACGUGGUCUUGUAACACAGUGGUUAAGAAUGUGACUUUGGAGCCAGCCUGCUAGGGGCUGAAUUCUGACUCAGCCAUUUACUAACUGUGUGACCUUAGUCUCACUGUUGCUCAGGCUGGAGUGCAAUGGCAUGAUCUCGGCUCACCACAAUCUCUGCUUCCUGGGUUCAAGCGAUUCUCCUGCCUCAGCCUCCCAAGUACCUGGGACUACAGGCACUCGCCACCAUG
rnacentral:antisense_RNA from 1 species